rnacentral:rRNA from 1 species
GAUGAACGCUGGCGGCGUGCCUAAUACAUGCAAGUCGAGCGAACAGACGAGGAGCUUGCUCCUCUGACGUUAGCGGCGGACGGGUGAGUAACACGUGGAUAACCUACCUAUAAGACUGGGAUAACUUCGGGAAACCGGAGCUAAUACCGGAUAAUAUAUUUAAACGCAUGGUUCAAUAGUGAAAGACGGUUUUGCUGUUACUUAUAGAUGGAUCCGCGCCGCAUUAGCUAGUUGGUAAGGUAACGGCUUACCAAGGCAACGAUGCGUAGCCGACCUGAGAGGGUGAUCGGCCACACUGGAACUGAGACACGGUCCAGACUCCUACGGGAGGCAGCAGUAGGGAAUCUUCCGCAAUGGGCGAAAGCUUGACGGAGCAACGCCGCGUGAGUGAUGAAGGUCUUCGGAUCGUAAAACUCUGUUAUUAGGGAAGAACAAAUGUGUAAGUAACUAUGCACGUCUUGACGGUACCUAAUCAGAAAGCCACGGCUAACUACGUG